rnacentral:rRNA from 1 species
GAUGAACGCUGGCGGCGUGCCUAAUACAUGCAAGUCGAGCGAAUGGAUUAAGAGCUUGCUCUUAUGAAGUUAGCGGCGGACGGGUGAGUAACACGUGGGUAACCUGCCCAUAAGACUGGGAUAACUCCGGGAAACCGGGGCUAAUACCGGAUAACAUUUUGAACCGCAUGGUUCGAAAUUGAAAGGCGGCUUCGGCUGUCACUUAUGGAUGGACCCGCGUCGCAUUAGCUAGUUGGUGAGGUAACGGCUCACCAAGGCAACGAUGCGUAGCCGACCUGGGAGGGUGAUCGGCCACACUGGGACUGAGACACGGCCCAGACUCCUACGGGAGGAAGCAGUAGGGAAUCUUCCGCAAUGGACGAAAGUCUGACGGAGCGACGCCGCGUGAGUGAUGAAGGCUUUCGGGUCGUAAAACUCUGUUGUUAGGGAAGAACAAGUGCUAGUUGAAUAAGCUGACACCUUGACGGUACCUAACCAGAAAGCCACGGCUAACUACGUGCCAGCAGCCGCCGUAA